CAGUGACCACAGAAAAGCAUUGGUAGACACAUUGCAUCAAAGUGCCUGUUAAUGACCAACUACAUGAGGAGAGGGCCCAUGCUUUGUUAUAAGCAUGUCCAUACACGUAUUACAAUGCCAGGCUUUCAAUUCGUUUCCACAAAGCAAAAUGCAGUUGUGGGUAUAAACUCACGACGUAUCGUAAGAAAAACUGUUUGAACACCAGACUGAGACUCGAGAUCAGUGAACAGUGG